rnacentral:lncRNA from 1 species
CCUUCAUUUUUUUUUCAUCUGAACUAGAAAUAUCGCUAUCUCCCCAAAUACCCAUUAUUGCAUUCUUUUUGCUUUUGGGGUUCCUUUUAAGUGUGAAGCAGUCUGACUUAUAGUGCCUCGACUUGUUGCACUUAUAGCAUAUGAUAUUUCUUUUUAUAUCAUCUCUUUCUCCCUUUUUUCUUCAACCAUUUCUUUUUGAAGAAUCUUUUGAAUUUUCUAAUGAGUAGCCCCAUGUCCUCAUCUUCACUUUCAUUUUCCUCUUCAUCUUAAUCCUUCAACUCAUCACUUUCUUCUGAUUUGGCAGUUGAUUUGAAGGCAAUGGUCAUAUUCUUCUUUGAUUCUUCUCCUUUCUUAUUUUGGCACAUGUUCAGCUUAUGUGUCCUAAGUGGACCAAUUAAUUCUUUCAUAAACAACUUGCUAUGACCUCUCGCUUCUUGUAUCACUAUUACUUUGACUUUUCAUGCCUUUGACAAAUACCUAAGAACCUUGCAAACAAGCUCAUUGUUAGUAAAUAUUUUGCCAAAACCAUUCAAAGUAUUAAUAAUAUUAGUAAAUUUAAAAAAUAUAUUAGAAAUUGACUCUUAUUGUUCCAUUUUAAACAUCUCAUACUCAUGAAGAAGUAAGUUAAUUUUGGACUCUUUAACUCACUUGUUCCUUCAUGAGUAAUCUCCAAUCUAUUCCAAAUCUUUUUUACGAAGGAACAAGUAGAUAUUCUAUUAAAUUUACUAAUGUUUAAAGAGCAAUAUAGAAUAUUUAUAACUUUAGCAUUCAGCUGAGCCAUCUUUUUAUCACUCUCAUUCCAAUCUUUUUUAGAUUUUGGUGAGAACACUCUAUUAACUGAAAUUAUAGAUGUAUAUGAUCCAUUAGUUUUGAUUCUCCACGUAUCAUAAUCUAAUACUUGGCCAUUAAAGAGUAAUUUGUGCCAUUAAAGAGUGAUAGUCUAAAAGUAGAUUGGCCUUCAAUAAAAAAGGAACCAAUGAAGGUUGUCAUGAUCUUUGGUUAGGUCAACAACAAAUACAGGAGCACCCGCUCUGAUACCACUUAUAGAAGGAUAGCAACCCAGAGGGGUUAAUUGGACUCUUUAAAAACUUCUAACAAAUCUAAAUUUGAAUAAUUAUGUGCUUUAAUUUAAAUAAAUUUGCUAAAGUGUAAGUAUGGUGUAUGU